GCAUGCUCAGUGGUAGAGCGGCUGACUGCAGAUCGGCAGGUCCUCGAUUCAAAUCCGAGCGCG
rnacentral:tRNA from 1 species